CGGAUCGCAGGCUGCAACUCGCCUGCGUGAAGUUGGAAUUGCUAGUAAUCGCGGAUCAGCAUGCCGCGGUGAAUACGUUCCCGGGCCUUGUACACACCGCCCGUCACACCAUGGGAGUUUGUAACACCCGAAGUCAGUAUCCUAACCGCGAAGGGGGGGAGCUGCCGAAGGUGGGAUAAGCGACUGGGGUGAAGUCGUAACAAGGUAAC
rnacentral:rRNA from 1 species